CUGUCCUGUCCGAUCUCUGCGUGUGAUCCGCUAUCCCAUCCACGAGCGUUUUUUCGGGGAAAGCGGACGGAGCGACUCGCUCUCCUUUAUCAGCCCAAUCCGGAUCAUCGAGAGGAGCGGAGUUGGAACAGGAUCAGUUCACCGUGGCAACAGGAGGACAGCUCUAGAGAUGGUGGGGUGUGAGGUCGUCAUGACAACUGGGUAACUACUCAACAGUGUGCUCCUCCUCGUCCUCGGCCCUCCUGCUGAGAGAGAGAGAGACGGAGAGAACAAGAGUUGAGAUGGAGCCGAGCAGUAAACAAGGAGACAGGGAAAAUGUGUGCUGUCGUGACGCGCGCGCGUGCGUGCGUGUGUGUGUGUGUGUGUGUGUGUGUGUUAGUAUAGAUGUGUGUUAGUGUGUAUAUAUGUAUUUAUGUGUGUGUGGUGUCUCUCUCGGUGGGGCGGAGCCAGGAUUGUGUCGUGCUUGCUGGGUAAUAAGCACACGGUCCAUAAGGAUUAGGGUUUAGACUAACCUCAAUCUCCUCCUCUGACCAGUGCUGCUGCUAAUAAGCUUACACAAUUUGUGCACAUGGACAGCAGCAGCAACACACACACACACACACACACACAUCGCUGAGAAACAAUGCCUUAAUAGAAAUUAAGCCGCCUCAUUUCUGUCAUGUUGAAGAAGUAAAGGCCCAUUAAUCGUCUGACCGGCCACGAAGUGAGAAACCUACACAACCAUAUCGGCCUCUUCACAGAAUGUGUGUGUGCGUGGGUGUUUGUGGUGAGGGUGUAAUCCUAUUUCAAACUGUCUCAGGUCAUGGGGCUUAUGAUUGAUAUAACUGGACGAUAUAUUUGAUAUGGAUAUUGAUAUUCGGCAUUAGAAUUGUAACAUACAUUUAUGCACAAGGACCAGAUGCACUGUUUAGUAUUUGUAGCGAAACGCUAAUUUACAACACCUGUCCACAGGUGUCCACCUGUCCACUUUCGACCCUUUACUGUUAUUAUUUGUACUAUAUUGUUGAUAACUGAUGUUAUUCUUGUCUUGUGACUGUGUUUUUAAGACUACAACUUGUGUUAAAUUGUAACAUUUGCAGUGUUGUUCUACAGUGGGCAAUAGAGUCACACUGUAUUUUAUUGUAUCAUAAACAGGUUGCGGUUAAAACAAGAAUGGCUGUCAUUUUAUCAUAAUGUACUUGUUUACACUGUAUCUCUGUCAGUAUAAUAUACUACUUCCUGUUUAUACCUGCACACAUCGCAGUGUACAUACAGUAUAUCUAUUUUACUACCGUCACAAAAGUAUUUACAUUAUUAUACGUAUUUUACAUAUCAUUUCUAUUUCAUGUUUGUGUCUCAGAUUCUUUUUACUUGACUCCUUAAAAUGAAAAUGAAAAGCCCAAAAAUCUGUUGAACUGAACAUAAACUGACCUUCUGUCUCACCUCAGCGUGGUUGCGAUGUCGAUUUGUGACGGCAGAAGUGCUCCAAGGUGUAUGCCCAUCCAUACCCUUUUCACACACACACACACACACGCACACACACACACACACGCACACACACACGCACACACACACACACGCACACACGUUGCCCCAAUACCGUUCAAUUGUGUUGGUAAUGGGGGAGUGGAAACACACUUGCAUUGUGUUCUCUGGUUUAAAAAAAAUCGCAUGCUAUUUAUUUGCAACACCCAAAGCUACCACACCACAUGGUUUCCUGUAAACAGCGUGGGUUUCAGACACUCUGAAGUGGGCUCAAGCACUUUUAAAAACACUCAUUUCCUGAAGCAAAUGCUCCACCUGACAGCAUUCACAAAUCCUAAAAAUCAAUACAUUCAUACAUUUUGCAUGGGAAGCUUCUACUAUUAAACACACACACACACACACAGGCACAGGCACGAGGCCCAUCAAUAAUUAGGGUUAAUAUGAUCUCACUUGAACUUGAGAGGGGAAGUGUUGGUCUGCUCUUCACAGCUCUAGCAAGCGUGUGACAAAGAAAGAAGAGAGUGUGUCAUGUGUCAUGAGGCUGCUGUGUGAUGGUCAACAUCUAAACGCUCCAGUUACCUACUCUGGCUGCGGCAGCCGGUGUAGAUGGCAUCUCCGUUUACCGAGCUGGAGGUGUUGACGAUCAUGUUCUCUCUGCUGGUGUUCGCCCUCUUCACGCUCACUGGGAUGCUCGGGGAGGAAUGUGCACGUCCGAAUGAGACAAACACCACAGAACCACAGAAGGAGGAACUGAUCGUCUGACGAGAUUCAUGAAGGCACCAGCGGCCUCUUUCGUCCUGUCAGUCCUUAUGGAGGCCGAGGCAGCGAAAAGACUUGUGUGAGUGUGUGUUAUCAGUUACCAGGAACAAAGUCUAUUUGGUGACUUCUGAAUGUGUGUGUGUACGUUGUUACACGCUCCAGUCUUUCUUCCAGGAUGUGGCACAAAGGAGUGGCCUGGAUAACUGUAAAAAAGAAGUCAAUAAACAAACGCCUGCUUCAACCGUUCAAAGACAGUAUCUCACACCUACAUUCUUUCCUCUUUGAGGGUGUGUGUAUGUGAAGACACACAGCAGUGCUUUUGUAUUCAUUUUCAGAUCUGAAAAUACCUGCUGUGAUUCUUCCUACUGGUAAGUCUCAAAACCUCUUAUUCUUGUUUUAUCUCUGUUGGAUUUGCUCAUCGAGAAACGUGCCUCAAACAAAGGUCAUCCUCUGAUCCAAGUCUACGGCCCCAGAGGUGCUUUUUUUCUAAAUCUGGGUCACCAGGGAAGGUGUGCUGGAAGGUUUAGAGUGAUCUCUCAAAUUAUUCCUCAGGAAUGAGGCUUGUCAGGGAUCGAAGGGUGGAGCUUGUGCGAAUGAGCAGAUUUACAGCAGCAAGAAAAAUGUGUGAAUCGCAGGCCAUUAUGAUUCACUCAGCCUCUCGGUGAUUAUAUAAAACCACAUGUUACAACGUAAAUUAUACGAAAUUAUGUAUUUUUGUAAUUGAUGCCUCUUAGUAAUUCCAGUGAAGCUCCUGUCCAUCUUAUGCUGCAGUCAGUUCACUGGAUGUGUUGAUGAGAAAUGUUUAGUCAGGGAUUCAUACUCUUGAUGAGCAAAGUAACAAUGUGGUUGAAGUUUCACAGCAAAGGGAUUUUGGAUGAAGUUGGUUAUAGGAAAAAAGGGGCUUGAUCCCGAGACUGCUGAAAAUGAAAAACGAAUUCACUGAAGUAAGGUUCGCCUGAAAGUUUCCAAGAACUUCUGUUUUUACUUUUUUCUUUGAUUUUAGCACAGACUGUUUUAUUCAUACCUCCAAUUCCACCGGUCACUCGUUGUCUGAUACUAGAGUACAUUUCUUAUCUUUGUGAUUCUUAAACACAGCAUCUGGUACUGCUCCGUUUCAGGCUGAAAGUAAUCAUGAAUAAAGGAUUCGGCAAUAAAAUGUGCCAUUAAGUGUCACGACCAGGAAAAGAAAAUCUUCUUUUUAUUGUGAACAGAGACACAUUUUGAGUUUUAAUACAGUUAAACUCAGCACUGUAGUGAAGAGCAUGAGUCAUUAUAAACUAACAACUGAGCGACUGAACAGUUACAUUUAACACGGUUGCACUGCCCUCUGGUGGAGGCGACAUGCUACUGCAACUCAAGCUCUGCAUAAACAGUGUUGCUAUGAAAAUACUUAGUUUGUAAUGCACAAACAGUGGCGUUUGUGAGGACAAAUAAAUCUAUGUAUGUGGAUGUGUAUUUAUUAUGGCAAUAAUCUGUAGUUUCACUAUGAAUUUACAAGUCAAGUCCUAAUUUUAUCCACAUCUUACAUUAGUCUGGCUGCAAACAUCUGAUUUACUGCCCACAUCUCAGAUUUGUGUAGUGGUUCAAACAGUGAACGGAUGUAGUGAGAAAAGAUCUAUUCAGUCUGAUUAUCAGGCUACAUGAAAAGCAGCACAAGUAUGUCCUCCUUACAUGCAAGCAUUUAGAUUUAUAUCCUAUAGCCUUGUUGCUGUAUUUGAAUAUAUACCUGAUUUAAUGUAAAUACUACAAUAUGGGGCUGUGAUAAACCACAAUUUAAAUCAUGGACAUGUAAAGAUUAUGAAAAGUCUGUUUAUGCUCACUGGAUCUCUGUACAUAUUUCAAAUAUGAAAUUAGGUUUUUAAAUAACAGCAAGUCUGUCAACAUGAUUCAGCAAAGAUGGAUGUUUUUACAUUCAUAAACACAAGAAAAUACAAAGUGUAGUAUUUGCUGUGUGGGUGUGAAAUGUGGCUAUCACAUAUAAUGAUACUAUAUGCAUGACAUAUAUUGAUACGACCAUAAUAGACAGUGUGGAUAGGCAAGGUAAUGACGUGCAAAGUACAGAUUAUCAUUAAAAACCUAUUAUUGCAUUUUUACCUGGCAGCAACCUCAAAGUCUGAAAAGUGAAGCCAAUGCGGAAAUGCCUUAAAAUUGCAUAUUUUCUAAUAGCCAUCAGGGGCGACUCCUUACUUCUCCCUACUUCCACUGCUCUAAAGUGCUAACAUGGGCGCCGGAAAGAAAAGCAAGUGGUUCACUGUGUGGAUGCUAAAAGCAGAUUGUGUGUGUGCUAAACCAAAACACGUGUGAGUUUAUCACGGUAAAGACCAGAUUACAAAAUCCAUGUCGUGUCCAAAUGUGACACCGGUGACAGUGAUGACACCGGUAUUCCGCCCACCCCCAGUGUCAUGCAUCGUAACGUAAAGAUGUUACAUCAAGUAAUGGCGUGCUUUGUGUUGGCUAUAGUUGUGUAGAUG